GACGAACGCUGGCGGCGCGCCUAACACAUGCAAGUCGAACGAGCGAGAGAGAGCUUGCUUUCUCGAGCGAGUGGCGAACGGGUGAGUAACGCGUGAGGAACCUGCCUCAAAGAGGGGGACAACAGUUGGAAACGACUGCUAAUACCGCAUAAGCCCGCGGGUCGGCAUCGACCAGAGGGAAAAGGAGCAAUCCGCUUUGAGAUGGCCUCGCGUCCGAUUAGCUAGUUGGUGAGGUAAUGGCCCACCAAGGCGACGAUCGGUAGCCGGACUGAGAGGUUGAACGGCCACAUUGGGACUGAGACACGGCCCAGACUCCUACGGGAGGCAGCAGUGGGGAAUAUUGCACAAUGGGGGAAACCCUGAUGCAGCGACGCCGCGUGGAGGAAGAAGGUCUUCGGAUUGUAAACUCCUGUUGUUGGGGAAGAUAAUGACGGUACCCAACAAGGAAGUGACGGCUAACUACGUG
rnacentral:rRNA from 1 species